AGUGGGGGAUAACGUAGCGAAAGUUACGCUAAUACCGCAUAUGCCCUGAGGGGGAAAGGUGGGGAUCGUAAGACCUAUCGCUUUCGGAGUGGCCGAUAUCAGAUUAGCUAGUUGGUGGGGUAAAGGCCUACCAAGGCGACGAUCUGUAGCUGGUCUGAGAGGACGACCAGCCACACUGGGACUGAGACACGGCCCAGACUCCUACGGGAGGCAGCAGUGGGGAAUUUUGGACAAUGGGGGCAACCCUGAUCCAGCCAUGCCGCGUGAGUGAAGAAGGCCUUCGGGUUGUAAAGCUCUUUCGGACGGAAAGAAAUCGCCAUUUCUAAUACAAGUGGUGGAUGACGGUACCGUCAUAAGAAGCACCGGCUAACUACGUGCCAGCAGCCGCGGUAAUACGUAGGGUGCGAGCGUUAAUCGGAAUUACUGGGCGUAAAGCGUGCGCAGGCGGUUUUGUAAGACAGGUGUGAAAUCCCCGGGCUUAACCUGGGAACUGCAUUUGUGACUGCAGGGCUAGAGUGUGGCAGAGGGGGGUAGAAUUCCA
rnacentral:rRNA from 1 species